rnacentral:lncRNA from 1 species
GUGUGAGAGACCCGUCCCGGUGGGAGGGACCUGGGCUGGGGGGGACGGUAGGGGAACAAGGGCGUGGGACUGGGGAAGCUUCUGGGAACAUUUGCUCUAGGUAUUCAGCUAAACUAAGAAAAAUUGGUCCAAGGCUCGGCACAAAAGGAUCUUCUCAUUCCAGUCCUUUCGCCCACGCAGGGAACGAUGCCUCUGGAGGUGGUGGUGGAGCUGCAGAUCCGGGCGAUUUCUUGCCCAGGAGUGUUCCUGCCUGGCAAACAAGAUGUGUACCUCGGGGUCUACCUCAUGAAUCAGUACCUGGAGACCAACAGCUUUCCCUCUGCGUUCCCCAUUAUGAUUCAGGAGAGCAUGAGAUUUGAAAAGUGUGGGAUGAGUUGGCCUACUACGAAGAAAACACACGAGAUUUUCUUUUCCCAGAGCCCAAGCUGACACCUUCGCACCCUAGGAGGUGUAGGGAGGUGCUCAUGAAGACGGCUCUGGGUUUUCCA